rnacentral:rRNA from 1 species
UUAACGGCCGCGGUAUUUUGACCGUGCAAAGGUAGCGCAAUCACUUGUCUUUUAAAUGAAGACCCGUAUGAAUGGCAAGACGAGGGCUUAGCUGUCUCCUUUUUCAAGUCAAUGAAAUUGAUCUCCCCGUGCAGAAGCGGGGAUUCUGACAUAAGACGAGAAGACCCUAUGGAGCUUCAGACACCAAGACAGACCACGUCAAAGCCCCCUAACAAAGGACCGAACUAAGUGGACCCUGUCCUAAUGUCUUUGGUUGGGGCGACCACGGGGAAAUACAAAACCCCCGCGUGGAAUGGGAGCACCCUCCUACAACUGAGAGCUUCCGCUCUAAUAAACAGAACUUCUGACCAACAAGAUCCGGCAAAGCCGAUCAACGAACCGAGUUACCCUAGGGAUAACAGCGCAAUCCUCUUUUAGAGCCCAUAUCGACAAGAGGGUUUACGACCUCGAUGUUGGAUCAGGACAUCCUAAU